UAUAGAGACGUCAAGCGUUGUUCGGAUUCAUUGGGCGUAAAGGGUGCGUAGGCGGUGAGGUAAGUCGGAUGUGAAAUCCCAAAGCUUAACUUUGGAAGUGCAACCGAAACUCCCUCGCUCGAGGACUGGAAGGGAGACUGGAAUUCUCGGUGUAGCGGUGAAAUGCGUAGAUAUCGAGAGGAACACCUGUGGCGAAGGCGGGUCUCUGGACAGUUCCUGACGCUGAGGCACGAAAGCCAGGGGAGCAAACGGG
rnacentral:rRNA from 1 species